UCGCUCUGCCCCUCUCAAGAGUGCCCUGGGGUGGGAUUUGCCUUCUCAGGGCCUUCUCUUGUCCUGCCUGGGCCUGGGUCUUCCCACUACCUCCCUGACCACACCCUGACUGUCACGAAGAACAUGAGUACAUCUCAGGUGUCAAAACCAGCGCAUGAAAUAGCAUGAACUGGGUGGCCAAGACCAAGUGAAAACAUUAACCUUAUUGGAUUCAUCAAAUAGUCAGUGAAACACCCACUGUGUGCCAAGCCCUGUCACGGUCCCAGAGCAUUAAGUACGUGCAGACUGAAGAUUGUGGUGGGGGAGAAACAGACAAGUAAACAAGUAAACAAAUCAACAAGGGGAGUUCAGAGGCUGGCAAGUGCUGUAAUGAAAAUAAGGCCCCGGGCGGCACCUGUGGCUCAGUCGAAAGAAAUUAAAGAAGAUAAAACCACUCCAUGUCCCCAGAGAAUGUCACUCGGGAGGGAGAAAGUGCGCACCCAGGCAGAGGAAAUGUGGAGGCCAUGGGCUGGUACGUUUAAAGAAUGAAUCUCACGUGGGCUGGGGAACACAAAAGUCUUUGUGGAAGAGGGCUGCUCUGCAGACUUGGCUGAGCCCUCAGAGUCGAGCAUUGCAACAUCAGACAGACGCCUCUGUCUGGGACAUUCUUGCGCCACGGUCCUGCUCUCUGCAUUCCUGAGUGUCCCAAGAAGGCCAGGGUCUCCUCUCACCCAGAAACUUCUUCCUCUAACAGUCAACUAUGCAAAAGGGGAUCCUUGUUCAACUUCCUUGAAGAAUCCAGAAUUCAAGCCACAUUGAGAAAUCUAUAGAAGAAAUGUCUUCAUCCAGUGAAAAAAAAACAAGUAGAGAAACUUUGGAGACACAGGUACAACUGAGGCGAGCACGAGGGCUCAUCUACCCCGGCUGUCCGGCUUCCCAGUGUGACCUUUGCUCCAGCAGACAUACUCACGGGAAAAAGGCAGCUUCCGCCUGAGACCCUUCUGGCACGCUCCACGGCCACGAAGAAAGUUAAAGUGGUUUAGAUUCCUGCCAAUCACUCUCAAAGGACGCCACCAACAGGCCAGUCUGGUGGGCCCCAGCAUCCCAGGUCCCAGCCACUUGGUCUUGGGGGGCAUCUUCCCUCUGCCUGAGCAGUGCGGUUGCCAUGGCAACCUGCUCAGCUGACCCAUGAGGAGGCAGGGCUCAGGUUACUGUUCUCCCCAGCUCAGGAGAGGGUGCAGAACCUUCUGAACUUGUUCCCCUAAUGCUUAAACCCUGUUUUCAAAAUGAUAAGCAGAAAAAAAAAAUGGAGAGAAAAUCUGGACAUCUAAAUGUCCAGCAAUGAGAAAAAAGAUAAGGAAAUAAAUUAGGGUUAUGGUUUAUUAUAUGUAUUAUGUAGCCAUUUAAAAUGGAUGUUUACAACAGGUUUUUCAUAACUGGGAAAUGCUUGGGUCAGCAAAUCUAAAGUGGGCUUAGAGGAAAAUGUCCCUCAAAGAAGGGGCUUGGCAGCCUGUCAAAUUAGGAGACACAGGACAUCUGCUCGUUCUUGGCGGUACAUGGAACACUCCAGUGUAGUUACAGCUCUGAGAAGUCUUGCAGUCAAGCCGCUGUACUUAGCUUGAUUGAAUUUGAUGUUUUCCUGGUCUACUGCUGACAGAGCCCUUUCCCCAGCCACAGGGCUGAGGCGUGCUGCCCUGUCCCAUUGUCCCCUCUCGGGGUGGUCACUCUGUAUCCAGUGGGUAGCUGGCUCCCCACAUCUCCCUGGAGGCUCCUGGAGCUCUGCAAUGCUGGAGUUUCAUUUCCUACCCACUCCCCGCCCUUAGCGCCCACCCCACCAUCGAGGGAGAGCUUGUCGGAUUGCAUUAGAGGCCAUGUCUGUUUUCAACUUCAAUUCUAAUGAUCUGUUUUCUUCCUUCUACUUUAAAUGGUGUUUGUCAUAGGCAAUGAGCAAUCAAUCAACCGCAGCACUGUCAUUAAUCUACCUUUAAGCGAUGGAUCUCUGAGUGGGCAUGAGCUGGGUGCACUGGCUGGCCUCCCUGACCCAUGUCUACCAUUGGCCGGCUCUCACUCAACAUCUUCACCCCUUCACACCUGGCAACUUCUUCAGGACUUGGUGGCACUGCCAUUGCCUCAGGGAGAGCUUCCCUGAUUCCAUUAUCUGUAUUAGGACCCACCAUCACAUGUUUUCAUGGACACUUCCUAACCCAUAUUGUAAUUAUGUAUUCAUUUGUUUAUUCUCUCUCAACACUAAACUGUUAAUUCCCAAAAUAGCUCAGUAUCUGGCACACUUUGGGCAUUCAACAGCCAUUCAAUGAUUAAACUAGAACUUGACACUUUAU